CUCUGCAGGUAGACAGGCAGUCUGAAGCGCCUCACAAACUGGCAAUGGAUUGCCCAUGUGCUGCCACUGCUAAACCAAAAUUUCCCCAUAAGGGUGCCCCACCUGACUGCACUCACUCCCAUUACAAGUGAUGCCAAUCAGUGAAAAGGACCGGCAUCGUCACCCUUCUAGGAGUGAAAAAAAGAAAAAGGAAAGAGGAAAAUGAGAAUUAAAGCAAGACUGUGUUAACUUAGCUUGCAGAGCAACCCGACGUACCCAUCUCUGCCGAAUGUCAGAAUAAGUGAAAAAGCCAAUCUCCAAAGAAAAACUUCAGAAAGCCUGGAGAACUAUUGCAUAAUAACAGUUAAAAAAAUCCAACAAAGCCUGGCUCCUUGAAAGCAAGAUAUAAAGAAAGGCAACUGCCAUUUUCCACGCGCUCUGCCCCUCCACGUGUCUAUCUGUGGCUGUCGCUCUCUCUGUUGUGAGCGUUAGUUGACAAUGUCUGCACUCAGCACGCCCCAAAUAAAGUGCGUUGUGACAGAAACAUUAACACAAGCCACUGAGUACCUCUGUGAUUUUAGUGAGAGCAUAUCUGUCAGCCAGGGCCUGGAGGAGUAAAAAGCAUACAUCUGAACUUUCAGCGACUGGUGUUUGGGUGGAGGAUUGUGACAGUCAACAUCAAAACAGUAAAAGUAAAGCCGUGAUUUAUUGAAUGUGCCGUUUGUGUCUGCUUUCAUGUUUGCCAGUGAUACAUUAUAUGACUUUUCUCCUGCUUUCAAGAACAUGGCGAUGCAGAUGAAUUAAACAUGUUAAGCAGGAACAGGUCUUUCUCUGAAAGCCUUACCCUUUUCACGAUAACCCCUUUUUAGACAUUCAGUGGACUUAUCACAGCGUAUAAAUAGGACAGAAUUCAUUAUUCAGGGGAGGUUUCAGUGAAAAAUUAAUAGUUGUCCCCGGAGGAGGGUCUGUGGUGCUUCGGAAAAGGAAAAACCUUUAAAGUGUACAUGCUCAGGGGGAUUUGGGGAGAGUCUGCCCUUCAUAUUAAAACCGUUACCAUGCUACCAUACACACUGAUAUUGCAAAUGCAAGUUUGCUCAUCACUAAUGACUGUCACUAACGCU